GACAGAGGGUGCAAACGUUGUUCGGAAUGACUGGGCGUAAAGCGCGUGUAGGCGGCUCGGCAAGUCGGGUGUGAAAGCCCUGGGCUCAACCCAGGAAGUGCACUCGAAACUGCCGAGCUGGAGUCCCGGAGAGGAAGGCGGAAUUCUCGGUGUAGAGGUGAAAUUCGUAGAUAUCGAGAGGAACACCGGUGGCGAAGGCGGCCUUCUGGACGGCGACUGACGCUGAGACGCGAAAGCGUGGGGAGCAAACAGG
rnacentral:rRNA from 3 species